CAUUUUCUUUCUACAGGACCCCACAUGACUAUCAUCGUUCCAUUUCAGCAGGAACAAAAUAACCAGAGCUGAAGAAUCGAAGACCCUUUGAGGAAACAGAGUUGGGGGAUUGAAGGCUGCAAGAGAAGCUGUGACAAUUGUUGCAAUAUGCUGUAAAUGUAUUAAAACAACAUAAUUGGACAAAACAUUAAAUAAAGGAAGUGAAAGGGA